GACUUUAUAUAUUAGUGAUGUGAUAUGAUAUUAAAUUUUUCACACAUUAUACCUUGGUCUCCCAGUCAUAUUAUUUCUUUCUCUUACUUUUCAAAAAAAUUUUAUUCCUGACCAUACCUAUACUCCACGCACAAUUCAACGGGACACUUAAAAAACGAAGGGAGUAUCAAGUUGUCAAUACAUUUGGACAUAUGCCAUCAUGUCAAUGUUUUAUGGAUUUCAAGCUACUAUAAAUAGAAGCGUGGUGUGAAGAAAUGAUGGGAGAAAUCAAGGCAUUAGCUGAUCAACAAAUUAAGUACACUAAAUAUAAAACGAGUAUUUCUUUUUAUAGAAUUCUUUUUAGUUUUGAGAAAUGGAUAGGGUCUCAUUCAACCCUGUUGCUCUUGCUUUUUUAGCAUUCUUGCUGUAUACUGCAACAACACCAGUAGUUGGAAGGGCGACAACAUCUUCAGCUGAAGAACUGCCAUUGCCAUUGGUUUAUAAAAUGAAAAUGGCAGCGAGCCGAGUCCAACCAAUUGUCAAUAUCCUUGACUCGUACAUGAAGAAAGAUUUACAGUGCGUAGAACAAGGCCGAUACUGUAACUUUUAUUUUGGACCUGAUUGUUGCUCUAAUUAUUUAGCAUGUGUACCGCCGGGUAUUGUUGGUGGUGUGUGUGUCGCUUAGUUAAGAUCAAUCACUAACUACACUGCCAUCAAUUACAUAAAUAAUCAGUGCAGUGCGUGGUUGAUCUGCUGAACUUGUGUCUCGAUUUAAUUCACUUUCAUUGUAAUGUUGUAUGAAUAAAAUGUCAUCGCUAUGUGUUCAUGCUUAA